GAGAAAUGAUUGUCGCAAUUAAUGUGGUUUUGGGCACUUACUAAUUUUUGUGAUUUUAUGUAUGCAAUGGACUAUUCUUGUUGGCUUUUGUUGACUGAGAUUUUUACAUUUCUUGUUAACUUUGUGCAAAACAUGUCUGAAAUAUAGUUCCACACCAAAUGUUUCGUUGGUCUUUCAUUUUUUUUUAAUUGUUUAUAGGAAUCUUGAUCAUCAUGGUAGUUUUGAAUGAAGAUUACUUCUUUCUGUAUAUUGUCAAAGCAUUUGAUGAAACAAAAC
rnacentral:misc_RNA from 1 species